AUUGUAUUUCUUUAUUUAAAAUGUUUUUGAUUGGUUUGAUGGGAUAUUCUAAACUUAAAAGGUUUGUUUUUAUUAGCUGUGAGUAGAAAAUCAUACUAAUUAACAGAAAUUAAGGCUUGAAAACAUCAGUUAGUGUGAAAUUCAUCUAUAUUUGUUGCAAAUAGUGAAUUGGGAUACUGCUAAAAGUACUACAGUAGUACUAAAACUUUACAAAGUUGCAAAAGUAGCCUUAGUCUUGUGACGCACCCACAUGGGUUACUCCAUUGCAUCCUGGAUUGGUUACCAUGGUGACUGUAACAUGGCAGUAUAGUUUGGUACCACACUCUUGUUUGCUGACUGACGAGUGAACAGCCAAUGCCGCAAGGUUCUCCAAGGAAACUAACAUCAACAGAGAUGAAUCUGCAGCUGAUGGAAAACAACACAAAUUUGGCAUGAUAGACUGACAUGGACAAGAUCAAGUUAGAGGCCGAUCUAGUCCAGGUGCUUACUGGCAGUCCAUGAUGCAACAUCACUUAUGUUCUGGACGUCUCGGAGACAACAAGAGCUGUUCUGGGAUCAGUGAAACGCCUUCUGAUCCACACUGCUGGCUAAAACUUCUCUUCGAGACACUCUGUUUAACAUCAUUACAUUCUCGAAUACGGUUCAGUGCUGGUCCCAGGACAUGCUUUCCUGUCUUCCUCACACCAUUUUCACAGCUCUUCCCUGGGUUCACUCCAUUAACUGCAGAUCCGGCAAUAAUGUCCUCCCUGCCCUGAAAGCGGCCCUCUCUGACCCUGCUUGCCACACUGUUAACCUGCUCUGCACUGAUCUCCCUGAGCAGCCAGAGCUGGUGCUCGGAUCCCUGCCAGCCCUGGCAGCCUGUAGGCCUAUCAACCAGAGACUACCUGCUGUGCCUGAGCUACACCACAAGAGGGAGCUGCUACUUAAUCAUGUUUGAUGUGCAUGAUGAUUCCUCUCCAUAUUGUUGAGAGCCAACCAUCAGUUCCAGCAUCCCAAGCCAAGUGUUCCUGUCACUGCACCUCUGCCAUUAAAUCUCAGCCAACUCCACCACAACUCAGGUUGGUUUGCUAACAGUGUUUGCAUGCACAAACACUACAUGUGCUUUUUCACUUUGUUGUAGGUGUAGCCUGAGUGUUUCAUCAGGUUCCUGUGUGCUGUGUAGUCCAGCUGAGGCCAGGUCGGAGUUCUUCCCAGGGUGCAGGGUGCUGGCCAGGAGAACGGUGGAUGGCCUUUACUGCUCGAGCAGUGUUAUCCAGCAAGUACAGGUGGAAUCAUGCUAGUAUUUGAAUAAGACAAUCAGUAAUCUGCAGUGACUUGCAAAAGUAUUCAUACCUCAACACAAUGCAGGGCCACAGGAAAGUGGGUCAACAUUUUUUGACAAAUAAAAAUCUGUAUUGAGCCUCACCGAGUCAGUGCUCUGUAGAACAACCUGUUACUGCAAUAACAGAUGCAGUUACUUUAGGGAAUGUGUGUUUUAGCUUUCCACAUCUAGAGGCAGAGAUAUUGAGCCUUCUUCUUUGCAACAAAGCACACGCGAGAGAGCAUCUGUGUGCAUCAGUUUUUAGGUCUUGCACGGAUUCUCAGUUGUAUUUGGGUCUGGAUUUUGACAGGUUCCUUCCAGUACAUGAAUGCGCUUCUUAACCAUUCCGUUGCAGUCCUGAUUAUAUGCUCAGGGUUGCUGUGCUGCUGGAAAAUUGAGUUCUGCCCCAGUCUCUUUUGCAGUCUUUUGCAGCCAUUAAUGUUUUCUUCCAGGAUUGCCCUGUAUUUACCUCAAUCCAUCUUACCAUCAACUCUGUGUGUGAGAUUUUAUGUUUGCAAUGAAUUUAUUUAGGUGUAUCCUAGUAAACUGAGCUAAAUAACGGUAUAUUUUACCUAUACCUGAUGUCAAGUCAAGCAAUUUCCAAACGUGCUGGUAGAUUUAAGAAUUUUAAGAGUUUAUUUUUUGCAAAACAAUGGCAACAUAAUAAAAUCUGCCUAUUUUUUAAACUUAAUGUGGAACUCUAUAAUGCACGAGGUACUAUACUUUGAUUGACAUUUUCCUCCCACACAUCCAAACUCAGGGGAGCACAGGACCUUUGGUAGUUGAGUUUGACCAUCAAGAAAGUACUAGUUUUGGCGCAGCCCCCUCCCCACGCCAGCUGGUCUGCUACCAAGAUCUGGUCAUUGACAGCAGAGCUCGCAACCACCGACUGGUUCCUGGUGAUUUUGUCCUGUCGCCAUGGGAAUCAGAUCUGUUCAGAUAUGGUCCAGGUCGAGUGGCGGCAGUUGCACCUCACAGAGCCGAUGUUGUGGCCAAUCUCCAGGUGCUGAUGUGGAACAGCUGUGUGCCUCUGGUUCCUGACAGUCUGGUGUUGCCCAUCUCACUAUCUCACUAUUUUAGACUCGUGAGGCAGUUAGAGAUCCCAGUCCCAGUUCCUGGACAAUGCUGCAGCUGGGUCUGCACCAAAUCUCCAUGCACACUCCAGAGAUCUUUCACACACUGCUGCCAGUCCAAAUAUACCCCUCCAUGCUGUUCAGUUACAACCCAGCUGCCCUGCAUAGUUCCACCCAGCUGUAGGUCCAGCCUGGGAGAGCCAUGCCAUUUUAACAGGGGAGGAACCAACAGACAGGAUGACUUCAGAGAUGAACUUGUCAGGAAUAGAGACUCUGAGGCACCAUCCCCACCUCCUUCAUCUCCAACUAUAGAUGAGAGGAAUGCUUCAAAUUCUCCCGAAGUAAAGCUGAAGAGUAAAUGACAACGCCCUCCCUGGAGGUACUGGAGGAGAACUGGACCAGAACCAAAGCACAAACAACCAGGAAGUGAAAUUCACAGGAUGUCUCAUUGCUCCAGCCUCCCAGUCCCACAGAUCAGUGCCUCACCAAACCACAGCUCCCUGUUUCAUUCCCUUCCUGAUGCUAAAGCAGGAAAAAUGAACAUAGGAGAUGUUUUUGGAAAAGCCAGCUUUAAACCUCGACCACCUGCACAACGGCAGUCUUUCUCUGCCAGCGAAGCCACUCUUAUCCCUUCAUAGUCAGACGUCCAUGCUUAAUGGCACCUCUGGUACAAAUGUGUAAAAGGCCCUAAAUAAAUUCAUAUUUUUUAUAUAGGUAGCAUGAUCUCAUGCAGAUAAAUGUAGAAAGCCUCAACCUUUAAUUUGGGUAUGUAUACAGUAGGGAAAAAGGACAUUAGGAAAGUGUUUAAAAUAAAAUCAAUACUACCACAGAUAUUGCCACCCCUAACAGUUCAUAUAAAAUAAAGCAUUUUUAAAUUAAUAUUUAAAUAUAAUCGGUCUGUCCAAAAAAAAAAGUUUUAUCUUUUUUUCCUAUAAACAUAAAAAUGAAGAGACACAGAGACGCAUUUCUUCCAACUGCUGUUCAUAAUAGGAGAGACAAGAGAAAGUGCUUCUCAUUGAGGGCGAAUUUGUAUUGAUCUUUAUAAAUCAGGGAAUACAAAAGAACAUUGAUCAUUACCAAGAUAACUGGCUGUUUGGGAAUCAUCCUAUCAAAAAAUCUUUUUCUGUUCUACCAUCACUAACAUGUACUUUGUUAAAAUCUACUGGCACUUUUAAGUGGAACUAUGUACUUCGAUCAGAUGAGACUAAAAUUGAGCUUUUCUGCAGCAAAUACUUAAGGUGGGUGUGAUGUAAAAUGAGGGUGUCUAAACUUUUUGUUAUGUGGGCCAAUAUUGUAAAGUCAAAGCAACUCACAAGCCAUAAAAAUAUAUAUAUUUUUUAACUAAAAUCCCCAAACUUUUUAUUGUAUUUUAAUUAAACAACAUAGUCAGAUUGUUCAAAAGGAUAAGUCAUUGUAGAUACAAAACCUAAAAAGGGUUUUGCAUGUUUGCCGUAUUAAAAAAAGACAUCCAGUUUGCAUUUGACUCCACUGAAAAGAAAUUAGACAACGAUUGAGUCCACAUCCUGCAAUUUUGGGUCACUUCUUUGAAAACGCUUGCUGUAUUUAGCAAACUGUAAGUAAUGAUUAGGCAGAUUUGGAGAUCUGAAUGCACCAAAGUCUGCUUUCGAGAUAAAAUCACUGGGUAGAGGUGGUCCUAUUUGUUAUUAAACUAAACAAAUGCAAAAGGCGUGAUUAUUAAAAAUCCUACUUUGUGUUGGACUAAACGCUUUCCAUUUCAAGAAUUAAUUUGUAAUAAUUAUGCCCUAAUUAAAAUAAAAAAGUCUCUGCUGGCAAA